AUUAAUGAAGACAUCUGUACUGAUGACUUAGAAAAGAAAAGCUAUUUCCAGGGCAGUCAUGUGUUUUGGGAGAACUGUAACUACCACAUCCACUAAAAACCUGGAGUUGAGUAAAAUCCUGUGUGUUUCUGUGACUAAAUUCAAUUUUCCAAGACAAAAUUUUUCUGGUAGCCCUGACUGUCUUAGAACUUUCUCUGUAGACCAGAGAUAUGCCUGCUUUUGCCUUUAAAAAAGAAGAAAUUGGCACUGUGAGAGGCCAUGGAAGGCAUUUGGUGAAGGUGCCACUUCAGUUGCAGUUGAUAGCCUAGGACUGAAGGGGUCAUGCAAAGGAUUUGAGACUUGGCACCAUGAAGAAAGCCUGUGAGAGGCUAUUGGUGAAGCCUAGUUGCAGUGAGAAACCCCAGCAUAUUAGAGAUGCCAGUACCAUGGGAUGACCACCAGGAACAGCAGCCACAAUGCACUGGAGUCCACCAGAGCCUAGAGAAAUGCAGAAGGCAGAGCUGAAGUGAGAAGCCCAGAAGAUCAUGUGUGGGUCUCAGACAUUGUAACAAGGAGCUGUGAAGCUGAUGCUGGCUUGGGGACCCCAAGAUGUUAGAGACAUCAGAGCUGUGGGGUAUCUGCCAAGGAAAGCUGCUAACAGGGGAGUGGAACCAGCCCAGGAGAAAGAAGUUUGUUGCAGUCUACAAAGAUAAAAAAGGAGUUGGAGAUCUGAAGACUGCUUUGACAUCAGACAUGAGAUGCAGAGUUUGGAAUUUGCCCAGCUGGUUUCCUGUCAAGCUUUGGGGAUUAUAGCUAAGUGAUUGGAUGAAUCUCAGAAGAGACUUUGUCCUUUGGACUUUUAACAAUGUUGAGACUACUUUAGACUACGGGGACUUUUGAAGUUGGGCUAAACGUAUUUUGCAGUAUGCUAUGUUUAGAAAUGGUCCCCAGAGACUCAUAUGUUUGAACAAGCCUAUGGGGGCCAGGGAGUGGAAUAUGGUGGUUUGAGUAUGCCUAGCCUAGGAAGUGGCACUAUUUGGAGGUGUGACCUUGUUGGAGUAGGUGUCUCACUGUGAGUGUGGGCUUUAAAACUCUUAUCCUAGCUGCCUGGAAGUCAGUCUUCUCUUAGCAGCCUUCAGAUGAAGAUGUAGAAUUCUCAGCUCUGCCUGCACCAUGCUUCCCUGGAUGCUGCCAUGUUUCCACCUUGAUGAUAAUGGGCUGAAACUCUGAACCUGUAAGCCAGCCCCAAUUAAAUGUUGUCUAAGAGUUGACUUGGUCAUGGUGUCUGUUCACAGUAGUAAAAUGCUAUCUAAGACUGCAACACUUAGGAAAAAGUUAAGGUGAAAACAUUGAAGUAAGUAGGCAAGGAAGUCCCACAAAAAAUACUAUAUAUAUGUAUAUGUAUAACUGUGUGUAAUGUGUGUAUAUGUAUAUAUACAUAUACACACACAUAUAUAUGUACACACACACACACACACACAUAUAUAUAUCAUAGUUGAUGUUAAAAUGAAACAGAAGUUCCUCCAGAUGUACCUAAGACUGUCAAAGUGCAUUUCAAGGAAUGGUCCAAUUCCACAUUUUUUAAUGAAAGACACACCUAAGGAAAAGGACUUUGAAAGUUGCAAGAGAACAUUUAUCAAAUAGCUAAGAAAACUGAAAAGGUUUAAACGGAAGCAGAGACCAUGGAGGACUAUGUCUUACUGGCUUGCUUUCUUGCUCUGGUUUACUCUACUGCUUUUCUUAUUCAGCCUUGAAUAAUUGCCCAGGGAUGGCACUACUCACAGUGGGUUAAGUUCUCCUACAUUCAUUAGCAAUUAAGAAAAUAUGCCCACAGAAAUACCCAUAGACCAAUCUGAAAGAGGAAAUUUCUCAACGGAAGUUCCCUCUGCCCGGGUGACUCUACUUUGUGUGAACUUGACAAAAACUAACCAGCACAAUAUUCAUAUAAAUGUAAAAAAAAAGUGAAAAUAAGUAAUGUAUUACUUAAGGACUUAAUUUCUGCAGAACUAGCUGGGCAUGUUUAGUUCCAGCACUUGGGAGGCAGAGGCAGGUGAGUUUGAAAGCCAGCCUGCGCUAAGGACUG
rnacentral:lncRNA from 1 species